UACGGAGGGUGCGAGCGUUAAUCGGAAUUACUGGGCGUAAAGCGUCCGUAGGCGGCUUGUUAAGUCUGAUGUGAAAGCCCUGGGCUUAACCUGGGAACGGCAUUGGAUACUGGCGAGCUAGAGUUCGGUAGAGGGUGGUGGAAUUCCCGGUGUAGCGGUGAAAUGCGUAGAGAUCGGGAGGAACACCGGUGGCGAAGGCGGCCACCUGGACCGAGACUGACGCUGAGGGACGAAAGCGUGGGGAGCAAACAGG
rnacentral:rRNA from 1 species